rnacentral:rRNA from 1 species
UACGUAGGGUGCGAGCGUUGUCCGGAAUUACUGGGCGUAAAGAGCUCGUAGGUGGUUUGUCGCGUUGUUCGUGAAAACUCACAGCUCAACUGUGGGCGUGCGGUCGAUACGGGCAUCACUGGAGUUCGGCAGGGGAGACGGGAAUUCCUGGUGGAGCGGUGAAAUGCGCAGAUAUCAGGAGGAACACCGGUGGCGAAGGCGGGUCGCUGGGCCGAUACUGACGCUGAGGAGCGAAAGCGUGGGGAGCAAACAGG